AAUAGCCACACGGCUGAACCAGCAACUUGGAGGAAUGUAUAACGAAUGUGUCGUAUAAAAUUCUAGAUAGAAAACUGAUAAUGACAACUAUCUAUCUAUUAGUCUUGACCAAAUUACGUGCCAGCAGUCGCGGCAACACGCAGAAGACAAGUGUUAUUCAUCUUUAUUCGGUUUAAAGGGUACCUAGACGGAAAAUCAAGCCAUAGUAGGGACUAAUUUUCUAGAGUUUUAUGGGAAAAAGUCGAAUAUCUGGAGUAGAGAUUUAAUAUUAUGAUACUGGAUAGACGGAUAACGGCGUAGGCAACUUUUUAUGUAAAAACUGACGUUGAGGGACGAAGCCCUGGGUAGCAAGAAGGAUUAGAUACCCUAGUAGUCCAGGGAGACAAUGAUGAGUGCCAUAGGCUAGAUAAAUUAGUCUAUAAAUGAAAGUGCAAGCAUUCCACCUCAUGACUAAAGCGGCAACGCCCAAAUUGAAAUCAUUAGACCGUUCCUGAAACCAGUAGUGAAGUAUGUUAUUUAAUUCGAUGAUCCGCGAAUAACCUUACCACGUUUUGAAUACGAAAAUUGUACAAGUGCUGCACGGCUGUUUUUAGUUAAUGUCGUGAGACUUUGGUUAACUCCUUUAAUUAACGAAAACCCUAGUUUUAUUUGUUUAAAACAGUUCUCCGCUAUAUCGGAUAAGAUAAUAGGGAUUAAGGCAAGUCAUCAUGGCCUUUAUAACGU
rnacentral:rRNA from 1 species